rnacentral:rRNA from 1 species
UACAGAGGGUGCAAGCGUUAAUCGGAUUUACUGGGCGUAAAGCGCGCGUAGGCGGCUAAUUAAGUCAAAUGUGAAAUCCCCGAGCUUAACUUGGGAAUUGCAUUCGAUACUGGUUAGCUAGAGUGUGGGAGAGGGAGGUGGAAUUCCACGUGUAGCAGUGAAAUGCGUAGAGAUGUGGAGGAACACCGAUGGCGAAGGCAGCCUCCUGGGCCAGCACUGACGCUCAUGCACGAAAGCGUGGGGAGCAAACAGG